rnacentral:tRNA from 1 species
UAAAAAUUAGGGAAUGGUUGCUUGACAUAUUCCUAGUAUUUCAGUAUGGUUACCUAGUAUUCAUAUAUGGGUACAAAAUCUAUGUUUUAAG